rnacentral:rRNA from 1 species
AUGGUGCCGUCCCGGAUCCGCUUCGCCCGCCAAAUCCCCCUCCCCUGCUGCUCUGACACCGAAGAGGAGGAGGAGGAGGAAGAGGAGGAGGAAGAAGAGGAAGAGGAGGAGCCAUACGAGGAGGGGGAGGAAGAGGUGCCGGUCGCGUCGCCGCUGAUACUGCCGGCGGCGAGGGGAGGGGUCUCCGUGGUGGAUAUGGUGGCGGCGGCGCUGCGGAGGUCGCUGCUGCUGUGCAGCAGCGUGCGCGCCGAGGAAGGCACUGGCACCGCGGCUGCGGGGAUGCAGAUAGGGCAGCCCACGGAGGUGCGCCACGUCUCGCACGUCACCUUCGACCGUUUCGUCGGCUUCCUCGGCCUCCCGGCCGACCUCGAGCCCGAGGUGCCGCGCCACGCGCCCAGCGCCAGUGUAAGUGUAUUUGGAGUUUCACCGACGUCCAUGCAAUGCUCAUUUGAUAAAAGAGGAAACAGUGUACCAACAAUACUAUUGACCAUGCAAAGGAAGCUAUAUUUACUUGGGGGCCUUCAGGCUGAAGGGGUCUUCAGAAUAAAUGCUGACAAUAGACAGGAACAGCAUGUCAGGGAGCAACUAAAUAGAGGUGUUGUUCCAGAUGGAGUUGACUUGCAUUGUCUUGCAGGCCUUAUAAAGGCAUGGUUCCGAGAACUUCCAAGUGGAGUAUUAGACUCAUUGACUCCAGAACAAGUGAUGCAUUGCAACACUGAAGAAGAGUGUUCUCGUGUUGCGAGUAUUGUACCUCCAGUGGAAGCGGCAUUACUGGAUUGGGCCAUUAAUCUGAUGGCAGAUGUUGUGGAGCAUGAAAACUACAACAAGAUGAAUGCUCGCAACGUUGCUAUGGUUUUUGCGCCAAACAUGACUCAGAUGGCCGAUCCCUUAACUGCUUUGAUACAUGCAGUUCAAGUGAUGAAUUUUUUGAAGACAUUGAUCCUGAAGACUGUCAAAGAAAGGGAGGAGGCAGCUUCCGCAACAAGGGGAUUCACCUCCAGCUCUGGUUCCCCGAGUGACAAAGAUGCACCUCAGGCAUUAAAUCAUUUGGACAACCCCUUAAACUGUUCAAGUCAGGAAGAUGUCGAACGCCCCAUGAUUAGUGGGGCUACUCUUGACCACUUUCUCUUCAGCGUAGAACAAGCGCUUCACCAAGACGUGCAAGCCAGUAUCGGAGAACCCAAGAAGUAUGACACCGGUACAGCCCAUGACAAAUACAAUGACGAAUUUUCUCCUGUGGACAGUGAUUUUAGCAGUAGCCAAGAUGACAGCAGUUCUGGAAAUAAAUUCAGCAAUGACAAUGUGGAAGGUUUGUUUGACAGAUUCAAAUUUAGGAAAGGGGUAGGCAGAAUCUGCAGGCAUCCAGUGUUUCAGUUGAGUAGGUCCAUGAAGAAGUCUGAUGAAGCAGGACAAGCUUGUGCAUGA